rnacentral:rRNA from 1 species
UACGUAGGGGGCGAGCGUUGUCCGGAUUUAUUGGGCGUAAAGCGCACGUAGGCGGUCAGGCAAGUCGGGUGUGAAAGCCCUGGGCUCAACCUGGGAAUUGCAUUCGAAACUAUCUGACUCGAGUAUGGGAGAGGGAAGCGGAAUUUCCGGUGUAGCGGUGAAAUGCGUAGAUAUCGGAAGGAACACCAGUGGCGAAGGCGGCUUCCUGGACUAAUACUGACGCUGAGGUGCGAAAGCCAGGGGAGCAAACGGG